UGUAAGCCAGGUUGGUUUCUAUCUUUUAGAAAAUUAAAUAUUUUAGUACGAAAGGAUUGAAUAUUUUAAUUAAAUUAAUUUAAUUGAUUAUUAUUAAAUUGAUAAUUAAAUUUAAUUAUUUUUAUAUUUUAAUUUUAA
rnacentral:rRNA from 1 species